UACGUAGGGGGCUAGCGUUGUCCGGAAUCAUUGGGCGUAAAGGGCGCGCAGGCGGCCCGGAAAGUCGGAUGUGAAAACUCGAGGCUCAACCUCGAGCGUGCACCCGAUACUGCCGGGCUUGAGGCAGGUAGGGGAGAUCGGAAUUCCUGGUGUAGCGGUGAAAUGCGCAGAUAUCAGGAGGAACACCGGUGGCGAAGGCGGAUCUCUGGGCCUGUCCUGACGCUGAGGCGCGAAAGCUAGGGGAGCAAACAGG
rnacentral:rRNA from 1 species